rnacentral:rRNA from 1 species
ACGCUGGGCGGCGUCGCCUAAUACAUGCAAGUCGAACGAACGGAUAAAGAGCUUGCUUCUUUUGAAGUUAGUGGCGGACGGGUGAGUAACACGUGGGUAACCUGCCUCACAGCGUGGGGAUAACAUCGAGAAAUCGAUGCUAAUACCGAAUGUGCUGAACAUCAUAAGAUGUUCAAGUGAAAGACGGUUUCGGCUGUCACUGUGAGAUGGACCCGCGCUGGAUUAGCUAGUUGGUAAGGUAAUGGCUUACCAAGGCGACGAUCCAUAGCCGACCUGAGAGGGUGAUCGGCCACAUUGGGACUGAGACACGGCCCAAACUCCUACGGGAGGCAGCAGUAGGGAAUCUUCGGCAAUGGACGAAAGUCUGACCGAGCAACGCCGCGUGAGCGAAGAAGGCCUUCGGGUCGUAAAGCUCUGUUGUUAGAGAAGAACAUGGGUGAGAGUAACUGUUCACCCCUUGACGGUAUCUAACCAGAAAGCCACGGCUAACUACGUG